rnacentral:piRNA from 1 species
UNCCAGAAUGCUCCUGACCCUUGUUGCAUGC